GCACGGCUUAGUUGUUUACCAAAUUCGAAGCUUUACGGUUGAUCCGCGGAUGAAAGGGCGCCAUAAAACAAAGAGAACUUGGAGAGACGACUCGCGAAACGUUUAACAGUUAUUCUAUCCAGCCAAUUGGCGUAGUUCGCUGCGCCGACUGUGUUGUUAACUACGCAGUUUGUUUUUGUUUUUUGCAAGUGCUUUUGAGUGCCGAAGUUAAACAAGUCCGUGCGUAAGCAAGCCAGUUCAAUUGCCCGCUUGCGUGAAGGACCCAGUUUUCGCCAUGGCCCAAACAGAGGCCAAAACCACGUGCACGCGGCGUCGCCGCCAGUUUUUGCCCGAUGGCCAAAAUAGGCAGCAGCAGCAGCAGAAGCGACAACAACAACAUUAGCGGUUAGCGGUUUCCUCUCAAAAAUAUAUCGUGUGCUACAUAAUGCCGUUAGAUAUUUAUAACGGCUCAGAUCGCAUACCGUUAAUCGUGGAUUGUGGCACUAACUGAAUUGGUCGAGCGAUUGUUGUGAUUAUCCUUGUUGUGAUCCCGCCUAUCAAAAGUGGGGAUAAGCGUUGGCAACAGUUGGCAAUUCGUAAGCAUUUUAGAGGCCAGCAUCAGAUUAUAUCAUCACAGUUUUCGGAGGACUCAUUACAGUUGAAUUCAGCAUCCGGCGCGACAGGCUGUCUCAUUUCCACAUCCACGCUCGCAUUCAGCCAACUCUGAGGACUCAAGAGGAGAAAAAAAAGGGAGUGAAAAAGAAAAAACAACAAGCGACAGGCUCGUAAAAGGGCGCUGUACAGCAAUAAGAACAU
rnacentral:sRNA from 1 species